rnacentral:rRNA from 1 species
GAUGAACGCUGGCGGCGUGCCUAAUACAUGCAAGUCGAGCGAACGGACGAGAAGCUUGCUUCUCUGAUGUUAGCGGCGGACGGGUGAGUAACACGUGGAUAACCUACCUAUAAGACUGGGAUAACUUCGGGAAACCGUAGCUAAUACCGGAUAAUAUUUUGAACCGCAUGGUUCAAAAGUGAAAGACGGUCUUGCUGUCACUUAUAGAUGGAUCCGCGCUGCAUUAGCUAGUUGGUAAGGUAACGGCUUACCAAGGCAACGAUGCAUAGCCGACCUGAGAGGGUGAUCGGCCACACUGGAACUGAGACACGGUCCAGACUCCUACGGGAGGCAGCAGUAGGGAAUCUGCCGCAAUGGGCGAAAGCCUGACGGAGCAACGCCGCGUGAGUGAUGAAGGUCUUCGGAUCGUAAAACUCUGUUAUGAGGGAAGAACAUAUGUGUAAGUAACUGUGCACAUCUUGACGGUACCUAAUCAGAAAGCCACGGCUAACUACGUG